AACGAACGCUGGCGGCAUGCCUAACACAUGCAAGUCGAACGAGACCUUCGGGUCUAGUUGCGCACGUGUUCGUAACGCGUGGUAACCUGCCCUUAGGUUCGGAAUAACUCCCCUUAAGGUGUGCUAAUACCGGUUAAUUUCUUCGGACCAAAGAUUUAUCGCCUUUGGAUGGGCCCGCGUUUGAUUAGCUUGUUGGUAGGGUAAAAGCCUAGCAAGGCGACGAUCCAUAGCUGGUCUGAGAGGAUGAUAAGACACACUGGGACUGAGACACGGACCAGACUGGUACGGGAGGGAGGAGAGGGGAAUAUUGGAAAAUGGGCGAAAGCAUGAUAAAGCAAUGGCGGGGGAGAGAUGAAGGCGUUAGGGUAGUAAAGCUCUUUUAAACGGGAUGAUAAUGACAGUAACGGGAGAAUAAGCACCGGCUAACUACGUG
rnacentral:rRNA from 1 species